AGAAGAGGUAUCCUAGGAUCUAAUCAAAGUCGUCCACUAACGGAUCUACGGCGCAGUGACCAUCCCCUUCCCCCGGCUAAACGAGACGGCGGCGUCGCCCCGACCCCGAGGCGGAGGAUGGCCAGACCUAGGCGAACACGUGCCCAAAUGCUACCAGCCGAUGAAACCCGAGGCGUAUAGGUAAAACAAGGCGCGACGAAAUCAAUUACAUGUUUCUUACCCCGAAUUGGUGCUCGGGCGAUGCUGUCCAUGGAGUUAUGCGGAGUCGCGGCGGCGCGGCAACUACGAUGAGCAAUUCGCAGCGCCCUGGUCGAGGAUUCUCCGAAGCAAGGCUCCAGGUCUCCACGGCGUGCGAUGGCGGAUACCCGCAGUACUUCUUCGGCGGCCCGCCUCAACAGUUGACGACGGUCAAGUGCGACGCGGCGGUGGAUUUGCCCAGCAAGGGUGCAUGGCGUGGAUGGGAAGAAGGGGAAAGGAAAGAGGGGUUGACCGAGCUAUAUAAGGUGAAGCGCAG
rnacentral:misc_RNA from 1 species